GCGCGUCGGCGCUGAUAAGCUCGCGCUAUCGAACGUGCGGAAGUGGGUGAGCGGGCGCGAGCGCGAGCGCGUGCGCGCGGGUGGGGCCGGACAGACGGUAACGUGACCAAGACGCGCACGCAUUCCGUUAAAUGAAGCGUUAUACAUGACCCUGCAAGAACCCGUUGUCGUUCUGGACUCCCAGACGCGCGUUUUUCUGCGUGAAUAUCCGGGCUGUCGGUAACAGCGUACUAACAGGGAUGUUGAAGCUACGGAGGAAAUAAUAAAUCAUAAUAAUAUAUUUUAAUUCUGGGGCUGAGCGGGUGAAGCACAGCGAGCGGAACUGGCUUCCAUUAUCACUACAGGCAACGAUAACGAUCUCGACACUGGGGCGAUGUGAAACGCCGAUAUUGCUCGUUCGUUCCGCGCACAGAGGAAUAAGAAUGAACGCCGGGCAUGAUAUGUCUCCUGAUUUUGUGUUGAUGCGCCUGGUCUCUGCGGCCGAGGAGGACCGCUUGGACGAUGAGAACAGCAGUCUGUCGUCGGGCACUGGACUGGUGGCUGGAUUCGGGCAGGACGUCUUGAGCCACGGAAACGUUAAGGGUAAACUGGACUGCGCGCAGAAUCACCUCUCAGCGGGGAACAAAGCUCCGCAGUCUGGCGGAAGUCAGGCACCUGACGCCGGCGGCAUGCCGCGCAGAGCCGCUCUGCCUGUCCCCCCUCCUCCGCUUCACUCCGCGGAGGCCCGAGCGUACGAUCUCGGCCACAGAGGCGGAAUCGGGCCUCAGCUGUUGGUGUUCCGAAACGUCUCGAGAGACCCUGAUGGAUUAUCUGAAGACAGUGCGGAUGCUAGGCAUGCUUCGAGGGCUUUCGACGAGCAGACGACACACACUUCCGAGUCGAGCGCCUGCACAAAUAACAAUACGCUCAGCGCUGUAGAUGCUCAGCAUCAGUACCAUCCUCCAUGGGCGCUGCAUCCUCAGCUGAAGCUGAACACAGCGGAUACGGACAGAGCCGAACUGUGCCACCGGCAUCGCAUAAUCACGGAGAAACGCGACUGGACGCAGAUUGUUGAUAAAUCCAACCCGACUGAAGUGCCGGACCCUAAUUGGAGCAUGAGAGCGCGGGGAGAGCUCCGGCUCUCUGACAGGCCUGCUCUGGAGCUCGCAAGACAGUUUGGGGAGCUGGGAGUCGCCCCGGUGCCCGACUUUUUGCUCAAGGACGGGGAUCUACAACACUGCUCGUGCUCCACGACGACCGGAAUCAGACAAGGCGAAGAUCCAACCGAGACCAGCGAUGCUCUGCUUGUACUGGAGGGACUCGGCUCGGAGGAGGUCAACGGCCUGGGCAUGAAGAACAAUCCCGAGUCCCAAGACGGUGCACAGGUGAAGACCCAGCUCACGCUCAAAUGCUUCCCUUCAGUACUCUCGGGCCAGGCGGUCGGGGUCACCGGUGGUCUCUGCUUACCGGCAUGUCGCGACUCGCAGCUCUGCUGUUUGUUCCGAGGCUCUCUAACCAUAAAGGCUCAAGGCAGCACACCUGACAGAGACUCAUCACAGUUCCCGACAUCCCCAUCAUCAGUAGAGUCCGCCGUGCAAGUGCGUCCUGACAGCGCCAGCUCCAGCCUCUUCUCGAGCCCCAGCGUGCAGGCGGAGAGAAGCGCGGGUGCGACCCGGGCCGCAUGUGGGAGCGAGAAGGCGCUGAAAGUGCCAGGGAAGACCAGAAAGGGCUCUCUUAAAAAUCGUCUGAGCAAACUUUUCAGAACUAAAAGCUGUAGCGGCUCGAAUAGUCUUCUGGAUAAGAGGCCGUCGGUGACGUUCUCCAUCUCUUCAGCCGGCAGUUUGGUGGACAUGUCAGGCGCGAGCGCCGUGGAGCACGACGCGGCCAGCCAACCUGGAUUAACAAGGGCCCAAAGUGCCUCCUCUGGUACUGCUUUCACUCCUGUCUUCACUGGAGAGACAGUGUCGCUGGUGGAUGUGGACAUCUCACGGAGAGGGAGAAACUCUCCUCAUCCCCCAACCCCUCCUCCACCUCCACGCAGAAGUCUCAGCCUGCUAGACGAUAUAGGUGGGCCACAACCGGGGCCUUUCCUAGUGAAUGUCAUGGGGGCGUCCUUGCAGUCUCUACCCCUGCCUCUUCCUCCUCCUCCCCCCCUCCAUGCCACCAUCCAGCAUAGCCUCAGCCUCAAUGACGCUUUCUUCCGAGCGCUCCCUCAUUCUGCACCAUCACCAAUCGAGACUCCGCCUCCAAUGAGAGUAGCUCCACCUUCCAAUGUGUGUCCUCUGAGAGGAGUCGAUUCCAGCAGCUUCACAGCCAGCCUUAGAGAAUUGGAGAGGUGUGGCUGGUACUGGGGACCGAUGAACUGGGAGGACGCGGAGUUGAAACUGAAAGGGAAGCCGGACGGUUCUUUUCUGGUGCGAGACAGUUCAGACCCCCGAUAUAUACUCAGCCUCAGUUUCCGCUCACAAGGAGUUACACACCACACACGCAUGGAGCAUUACAGAGGGACCUUCAGCUUAUGGUGCCAUCCCAAGUUUGAGGACCGCUGCCAUUCUGUGGUGGAGUUUAUAGAGCGUGCCAUCAUGCAUUCUAAAAAUGGGAAAUUCCUUUACUUCCUGCGGUCACGUGUACCUGGACUCCCACCAACCCCAGUGCAGCUGCUUUAUCCAGUCUCACGCUUCUGUAACGUCAAAUCCCUGCAGCACCUUUGCCGCUUCUGUAUCCGACAGCUUGUCCGCAUAGACCACAUUCAGGAGCUCCCUCUCCCAAAACCCCUCAUUUCCUAUCUGAAAAAGUUCUACUACUAUGACCCAGAGGAAGAGAUGUAUCUGUCAAUCAAAGGCAUGCGACAGAUGGCAAGUGUGGAGCAAGAGCCAGAGUCUGAGACGUAGCGGGAGAGCCAUAUUUGCUGUUUUUUCUCUGUAUGGAUAGCAGAUGGGAGAGUGCAUAGAUGCUCCUGUUGCACAGCUCUGCCCCAAAUUCCCCAUCAGUCUUCCAGCAGAAGCCAAUGGACAUCAUCAGAAUGGCUGCUCAUUGUAUUAAUUCAAGAUGGGGUAGUGAAACGCUGGAGUACUGCCCGUAUGAAACUGGCCAGAGGUGAUCCGCCAGGCAUUAGACUACUGGGCAGGCACAGAACUGUGAAAUGAAAUGGAUAGAACGUUAUAUGUGAUCUGGAGUUAUGACAUAAACCUCCAUCUGUAGUUCAUGAAAACGUUGGACUUUUUCAACCGGACACAUUUGUGAAUCGCUUUCCUUUGUUUUUGUUCUUUUUCUCUCUGUUCUCUUGCGGUCCCCUUUAUUUGCCUGUUACCUCAACUGUAACUUCCUCAGCCUGACUGCAGGCCAUCUUUUCAGUAAAAGAAAGUGAAACUGAAAAAGGCUUUGGCAUUCUUCUUCUCCAACUUUCAGGGCUAUACUGUCUCAGCACGGACUGGGCGUACUGUAGGAAAGAACUAUAAAACUAUGAAUUAUUCAUUCAUCUUCACCGACUGCCCUUUCCUGGUCAGGGUUGUGGUGGAUCCGGUGCCUAUCCCAGGAACACUUGGCACAUAUCCUGAAUGGGACCCGUUGCGCAAUUUGGCAGGUAGCAGGAAACCUGGAGGAAACCUAUGAGAAGAUGGGGACAGCAUACAAAACACCACACAGACAAUAACCCGAGCUCAGGAUUAAACUGGGGACCCUGGAGCAGUGAAGCGGAAGUGCUACCUGCUGUGGCACCAUGCCGCCUCACAAGUGAAUCAAUCCAUUUUAUAUGACUCGUUGGGAAACAUCCAAGCACUCGUUCUUGAUGUAUGUGUAAUCGGUGUCUAUAAAGCAAUGCACAAACUACUGUGGUUAAAUACAAAUUUUGUAUUGAACUAGCGUUGUGACUCACGUCUUAAGGGCCCGUUCACACCGGGAUGUUUUUCGCCGUGUUUUUUUUUGUUGGUGUGUUCACACCCGGGCGUUAAACGCGGGGGACGCGCUGAACGAAAGUGCUAAUUCACUCCCUGACAGUAGAUGGCGCUUAUUGAAAAGCAGAAAUACUCCGGGACACAGUACGGCGCUUUAGAACUUUCCGUUUCUGACACCCGCUCAUCGCUGAGAAGAAAGAAGAGAGCGUUCACACACUUUUUACGAACUGGCUAACUAAAAAUAGAUGUUAUGUAUGGUAAUGUAAGGUCUUUGGUGAUUUGGCCAAUGCAACAAAUACUUCUUUAAAGCUGAAUCCUUAAGGUUCUCAUUUUAAACAGUAUACUCUUUUUAAACAAGUAAUUCAAAGUCACAGAAAUAGCAUUCACAUACUUACCGGAAGAUCCAGAUUAUUAGUAUUUUUUUAAUCUAUGUUUUUUUGGGAGGGGGUGAGGGGGUAUAAGGCAACUAUUGUUGUGCCCAAAAAUGUUCAUGUUCCUGCAAAUUGAUGAAGUGUUGAACAUGAAUAGACUUUUUUUUGUGGUCGGUAUGAUAAUACAACGACGCAAUAAUGGGGCACUUAGCUAUUUGAUUAAGAGGUCAAGAAUACUUAUAUGCAUAUAUGUGCCAGGUACGAAAUAAAUACAAUCAGCGGACUAUCAUUUGCAUAUUUGCAGGGAACAGACAAAGAAACAAACAAUGCUAUUCAGUUUAGAACGCAACACUGAAAGAAUUAAAUGGAUCGUUUAGAAUAUACGCCUGCAUUUCACCGACUGCGUUUACAUGGACUGCAGUAAUCUACUUCUUGACCUUACUCUAAGAUAAUAAUGGGAUUAAGGUGUUUACAUGAGUCGCUUUUAGAAUACUCCUUUCAUGUACCCGUUUUACACGUUCUAGAACAUAAUUAGAUUAACAGCACACGUCAUUACGUCACCGCCGUCCGACGUCCCUCCAGAAUUUCACGUAUCGACAUACAGUUGGUUUUCGUUAUGGAACCGUAUACAGUUUUGGGUGUUUUUAAUUUUUUAAUUUGGGUGUUAAUUAUUCGUCGUGCCGUACGUGCAAACAGACGACUGCUUGAAGCCGUGGGCUGCGUCCCAAACCGCGUACUUACCGUCUCUAAAGUAGCCGAGAUACAUGUAUUUCUCCUACUCCAGGCCUAUAGUAGGUAAGUACGCUGUUUGGGACGCAGCCGUGCUCUCUCUUUUGCCGUAAAAUGUCGAGCGCUGCCGUGUGUGAUCGUGUCCGGUCGCAAAAUGCGGUGAAAACUCCCACACGCCGUUAAUAGUGUGAUUUAAGGUGUGUACAUGUCUGUAAUACUCGUCCAUAAUACGACUAAAACAGGAAUACUUCAACUCUCUUAAUACGAUUUGUGUUUACUUCGAGUACGACUUUAAUCGUAUUAAGGUCAUUAAAAAUCGCUGUUUACAUGGUAGUUUCUUAAUCAGUGUAUCGUCUUAAUCGGGUUAAUACUGGACUAUUGUUGUCCAUGUAAACGCACUGAGCGUCGUCAAAAUAAUAGCCGCAACAUAAUAAAUACACACAUAUAGUAUUUAGUGUGUAAUCUGGUGCUUUCAAGCGACACCGUGUUUGUGUACGCAGAAGGAUUUAUUAGCAGUGAGCAUUUUAUUUCGUGUAUGUCACGUGCGCACUCUCAGUAAAAUGGCGAGCGCUUGCGUCGUCUUCGUCUCCUUUUUCAGCUUCUGCUUCGUCGGUAAGUCCGGUUUGUUCUUGAGCUCCACGAAGUCAUACUUUUAUGUAACUUCAGCUCUGGGCAUGUGAACAAAAGCGCGAAUCUCAUUGGUCGGCCGGUUUUUGACGUGGUGCGUCAAGUGAAUAUUCGUACACACACAACAAAAUUAAAUGAAUCGAUGCAAAUAAUAAAAAUACAUGCACACACAGGGAGGAGAAAAAAAUUCUGUGCUUUAGGUGCGAGUGUAAGGUCAGGUGGUGUAAUGCCUACUGGUCACAGCAAAUAAGAGGGAAUAAUGGUGCUGUGCUUGAACUGAAUUGCAUUCAGUAUAAACUUUUUUCUUUUUUUUUCUUCUUCUCAUCAGUCCUAAUUUGGACUAUACAUGACACAAAAAUACACACGCACAAAAAGUCAAGUGUUCUUGAGCUAUUUAAAGAGGGUCUGGCAUCUCCUGAGACCUGUGCGUACGUAAGAUAAAUGGUUUUGUAUAUCUGUACGUCAUCUGAGCUUCUUGUCAUUUCUCCUUGUCGUAUUGCUUUGCCACUGUGCCUGAUGAUAAACUUUCUGUAUUGUCUCGCA